rnacentral:rRNA from 1 species
CUUAAUACAUGCAAGUCGAGCGGACAGAUGGGAGCUUGCUCCCUGAUGUUAGCGGCGGACGGGUGAGUAACACGUGGGUAACCUGCCUGUAAGACUGGGAUAACUCCGGGAAACCGGGGCUAAUACCGGAUGGUUGUUUGAACCGCAUGGUUCAAACAUAAAAGGUGGCUUCGGCUACCACUUACAGAUGGACCCGCGGCGCAUUAGCUAGUUGGUGAGGUAACGGCUCACCAAGGCAACGAUGCGUAGCCGACCUGAGAGGGUGAUCGGCCACACUGGGACUGAGACACGGCCCAGACUCCUACGGGAGGCAGCAGUAGGGAAUCUUCCGCAAUGGACGAAAGUCUGACGGAGCAACGCCGCGUGAGUGAUGAAGGUUUUCGGAUCGUAAAGCUCUGUUGUUAGGGAAGAACAAGUACCGUUCGAAUAGGGCGGUACCUUGACGGUACCUAACCAGAAAGCCACGGCUAACUACGUGCCAGCAGCCGCGGUAAUACGUAGGUGGCAAGCGUUGUCCGGAAUUAUUGGGCGUAAAGGGCUCGCAGGCGGUUUCUUAAGUCUGAUGUGAAAGCCCCCGGCUCAACCGGGGAGGGUCAUUGGAAACUGGGGAACUUGAGUGCAGAAGAGGAGAGUGGAAUUCCACGUGUAGCGGUGAAAUGCGUAGAGAUGUGGAGGAACACCAGUGGCGAAGGCGACUCUCUGGUCUGUAACUGACGCUGAGGAGCGAAAGCGUGGGGAGCGAACAGGAUUAGA